GGACCAGUGGUAUUGCAGCUCAUUUGGUAGAGUAUUGGACUCAUAAUCAAAGGGUAACAGGUUCAAUACCUGCCCAGGCCA